ensembl:lncRNA
CUCCAGCAGUGAUGCGCUGUGACUUAUACGGUGGCCGAAGCUGAAACUCUGGAGUCCUAUGCCUGACCUAAAGGAAGGACUCCUGCAAGUGCUUUGAAUCAAAAUGUAAGUCCGAGCAGUAUGACACGGUGUGAACCUGUCAGCCCUGGUGCUUAACUGAACAGAUUUAAAUGUUGUCACGCCUCCCAUUAUGAUCGAUACUUAAACUCAGUGCUUCUGAAGACAAUUUAAGACCUUUAUCACUCACCUUGCCCUUAAUGGAUAAAAAACGAAGUCCAUUUAGGAUUACCUAUCCCAUAUUUUAUUUUCUUGGAGAGUUUAAUAGAGUUUGACCUCAGCAGUUCUAACCUCUAGUACAGAGAGUUUUAAUUCUUUGCCAUCAGUCUUGGGAAGGGUCACCCUGCUCCGCUCAGAGACACCUUGCUACCUCCGCAUUCUUCAUCACUGGGGAGGAGAAACAGCUCCAGUGGCGAGUCCGCUUGCUUGGUGCCUUGGGUACUUAUUUCUGUAAAAACUCAACAAGAAGGGAUAGCACGGUUAAGGCCGAGUUCAUAUGGCAAGAGUCCCAGUUCAUUUCAUUGCGGUUCUGGUCUUCUCUCCUGGCUUUCCCCCUGCAAUCAGCAGGGUCUUGGUUGUGUUUCUAUACCCUUGAUCUCUCUGGGUCAGACCCCAGCUCACCACACAGCUGGGUUGGUGGUGAGAACCUAGGUGGGCCCCUUACUGUGGCCAUGAGGCCUCGGACGCACGGAUCUUCUUAACUCCAGCUGCAUAUUGCUGUGCGUGCGCGCAUGCUCAGUUGCUUCAGUCAUGACUGGCUCUUUGCGACCCUAUGGACAGUAGCCCGCCAGGCUCCUCUGUCCAUGGGAUUCUCCAGGCAAGAAUACCAGAGUGGAUUCCCAGGCCCUCCUCCAGGGGAUCUUCCCACGGACGGAACUUGCAUCUCCUAUAUCUCCUGCAUUGCAGCUGGAAAAUUGCUAUUUGUUUUGGGCUGCGUUCAGUGAGCUGUGAACUGCCCCAGGAUUAAUUAAACCUGCCUGUUCAUCAUCUAUCGGUGUAUCAGCUGUUAGUGAUAAGAGGCCCUUGAGAAGUUGAGGAGAACGAUGGGUGAGCAAAGCAGAUGGGCAAGUGCAAGGGAAGCCUCAAAACCCAAGACUAAGUACCAGUUCGUAGUUGCGGCACGCGGGAUCCUCAGUCUUCAUGGUGUAUGCAGGAUCUUGAGUUGUGGCUUGUGAACUCUUCACUGGGGCAUGUGGGAUCUGGUUCCCUCACCAGGGAUGGAACCCAGGUCCCUCCCGUGCAUCGAGAAUAUGGAGCUUUAGCCACUGAGCCACCAGGGAAGUCCUAUUCCUAUUUUGCAGAUGAGGAAACUAAGUAUGAAGGAGGUUGACUCACUGUCAUCCUAUUUGAACUUUUUCCUCUUCACUAUAUUAAACAGGGCCUGCCAGGUUGAAAGGCAGCAUCAACACGAUUGACAGCUGAAACCCGACCCUCUGCACCACACCCAGAAGCCCCUGGACAACUUCCGGCUGCCCCAGGGUGAGGAGGGAGCUUGUGGCCCUACUCAGUGCUGGACAGGCAGGGGGAAAGCUGGACCAUCUUUGCAGUUCAGAUCAUCACCUGGAAGGGUCUGUGGCAUCGUGCCCUGGCCUCGCAUCACAAAGGUCUUUGCGCGAUGUUCUGGCUUCCAGGCUGUGUGGCUAAGUGUCGGGAAAUGAAGGCACAUGGAGGCCGAAGGAGGGUCUCACGGCUGCUCUGAGUUCCAGCAGCUGAGAAGCCUGUGGCUGGUGGCCUUGCCUGAUGGCCCUUUAUGAUGUCAUAGUCUGGCCCAUGUUAGACUCUCCACAAAUGUUAUUGGAUGGAUAGAUGGAUGGACAGAUGGUAUUACUUAAACCAAGCAGCUGUACUCUCUCUUGCUUGAUAAGUGAUUAAUAAAAUAAGACAUUCCCAGUCUUUCUUUUUAUUAAUAAGUCAAAAAGGGAAAGGUGAAAGUGCAUAUAUAUGUAUGUAUAACUGAUUCACUUUGCUGCACAUCUGAAACUAACAGCAUUGUAAGUCAACUAUAUACCAGUAUAAGAUUAAAAGAAGGAAAGUUGAAUGUAUGCAAAUGUGUGGGAGUAUAUACAUGUGGGAGAGUGUAUAAGUAUGUAUGUGAGUGUGUGUGUGUGUGUGCUUUUGUGUGAACACAUGUACCUGCCUAAGUACUUGUGACUCUGGGUACAUGUGAUUGUGUGUACAUAUAUGUGAGAGUGUCCUUGGGUGUGUCUGUGUAUGGGGUGUGUGAGUGUGAGUUUGUGAAUGUCUGAGCGUGAGGAUAUGCACGACAGUCACCUACACACGAACCUUCAAACUGCAAACUUUGAAAGAUACGAAUGUGCAUCUAGUUCCAGCAAGGAGCCAGAACCCAUGCCGUCAGCAUCAGGCGUGAGUGAACUCUUAGCUUGCCCUCCGUCUCCUGUUGCUGACGGCCCUUCAGCUCUACCGUCUCCCACCUCCUCUCCCUCCUCCAUCAGGAACUCUUCUGGCCUGUUCACUCCGUGCCAGCCCCUGUGUGCCAGCUAUUGUACUGUGCUUUACUUUCAUAGGUCCUCUAAGAUUAAAAA